rnacentral:rRNA from 1 species
AUUGAACGCUGGCGGCAUGCCUUACACAUGCAAGUCGAACGGUAACGGGUCCUUCGGGAUGCCGACGAGUGGCGAACGGGUGAGUAAUAUAUCGGAACGUGCCCAGUAGUGGGGGAUAACUGCUCGAAAGAGCAGCUAAUACCGCAUACGACCUGAGGGUGAAAGGGGGGGAUCGCAAGACCUCUCGCUAUUGGAUCGGCCGAUAUCAGAUUAGCUAGUUGGUGGGGUAAAGGCCUACCAAGGCAACGAUCUGUAGUUGGUCUGAGAGGACGACCAGCCACACUGGGACUGAGACACGGCCCAGACUCCUACGGGAGGCAGCAGUGGGGAAUUUUGGACAAUGGGCGCAAGCCUGAUCCAGCAAUGCCGCGUGCAGGAAGAAGGCCUUCGGGUUGUAAACUGCUUUUGUCAGGGAAGAAAUCUUCUGGGCUAAUACCCCGGGAGGAUGACGGUACCUGAAGAAUAAGCACCGGCUAACUACGUG